CUUUUGUCUGGCGGCCGGCGCACGGGUGAGUAACACGUAUCCAACCUGCCCUUUACUCGGGGAUAGCCUUUCGAAAGAAAGAUUAAUACCCGAUAGCAUAAUGAUUCCGCAUGGUUUCAUUAUUAAAGGAUUCCGGUAAAGGAUGGGGAUGCGUUCCAUUAGGUUGUUGGUGAGGUAACGGCUCACCAAGCCUUCGAUGGAUAGGGGUUCUGAGAGGAAGGUCCCCCACAUUGGAACUGAGACACGGUCCAA
rnacentral:rRNA from 1 species